rnacentral:rRNA from 1 species
GACGAACCGUGCGAACGUUGUUCGGAAUCACUGGGCUUAAAGGGCGCGUAGGCGGGCUGCCAAGUCUGGGGUGAAAUCCCACGGCUCAACCGUGGAACUGCCUCGGAUACUGGCGGCCUCGAGGGGGGUAGGGGCAUGCGGAACUGUGGGUGGAGCGGUGAAAUGCGUUGAUAUCCACAGGAACUCCGGUGGCGAAGGCGGCAUGCUGGACCUCUACUGACGCUGAGGCGCGAAAGCCAGGGGAGCAAACGGG